AUGCUCUGCCAGGCCUGUAUUGCAGCCAUCUUUAGCUUAUGCUUGUUUUGGGGGCUAGUCCCCUUCAGUUUUAUCUUCAGCAUAUAAAAGGCAUGCUCAAUUGGGUUCAGAUCAAGUGAUUGUCUUGGCCACUCAAGUAUUGACAAUGUUUUAGUUUUGAAAAACUCCUUUGAUGCUUUAGCAGUAUGUUUGGGAUCAUUGUCUUGCUGUAGAAUGAGCCGCCGGCCAAUGAGUUUUGAUGCAUUUGUUUGAACUUGAGCAGAUAGGAUGUGUCUAUACACUUCAGAAUUAAUGACGCUACUACCAUCAGCAGUUGUACCAUCAAUGCGGAUAAGUGAGCCAGCAUCUUCAGCAGCUGUGCC